GGCUGGUCUGAGUGCAAUUGCAUUUACAACUAAUUGAUCAUAACCAAUUACAGAUUUCUUUGUUCAUUCUCCAUUCCCACUGCUUCACUCGACUAGCCUUAA
ensembl:Y_RNA Y_RNA Y RNA